CACUGCACCGGGAUCGUGCCACUGCACUCCAGCCUGAGCGACAGACUCCGUCUCACCAAAAAAAAAAGUAAAAUAAAAAUGUAGGAAGAGCAUUCUCAGAGAAGCUCAGUUCCAACCUUCAACCUCAAUUUUUUAUCACCUUAUGUUUUUUAUUUAGGGAAUGUGUAUUGGAGAAAAAAUAACAGAGUCUGGCUAAAGAGAUGAAGAGCUCAUGAGGGCGUGUCUCAAUUUAAACAAGAGUAGCAUUGGCAAUUGUUGUCCUUAGCAGCAGCCGACAAGGCGGAAUUGGAAUGGUGCUGCUCCUGACUACCUCUACUCCACGCUAGGCUUAGGGGCUGGAGUGACCCAAGCCCUCAGGUUGGAUUUUUUUUCCCCAGGACCUGCAGCGGCUGAAGUCCUCUCAGCACCUGCAAUAUCCCAGAGGGCAAAGACAGGGCCAAAUACUGGAUUCUGGAUUCUCUUCAUUGUUGUCCCCCUGCAAGUGGAGAGGUAUCCAGGCUGGGCCUUGUCCUAAGAUAUGACGGAACUGAAUUCUUCCAGCAAGCAUGUGAGCUUGGAAGAGAACACCAUGCGCCACACGAGAAUGCAUACUGGCCAACACCCUGUGCAAAGAUCCAGAGAAGCUGUGCUCAGACUCCUGACUCAUGAAAAUAGUGAACUUAUAAAUGUAUAUUGUUUUAAGAUGCUAAAUUUGUGGUGAUGUGUUACAUGGCAAUAGAAAACUAAUAGAGAUAAAACUUGACAUUUGAAGUGCAUCACAUAAUGAAAUUAGUAGAUGAGAAUCUCUCUAGAAACAAGUAAAAUUUUGAGUUAAAAUGAGAGACUGGACAUAUAAUUCCUCCUCCCUCCAAAAUCCCAGGAAAUGAGUAGUUAAAAAAAUUUUUUUUUAAUUUUACAAGAUAAGAACAACAAGCAGAGAUACUUGAAGUAGGGGCUGGUUCUUCUUCACUCCCUUUGUUAUAUAACUGAACUUCCUCACACUUGAGAAGUACAUUUCCCUGCUCCUUGACUUUCAACUCAGCCAUGUGGCUUGCUUUGGCCAAUGAGUUAUAGGUAGACGUGAUGUGACCAGAGGUUUAGAACUCAUCACUGAUCUUGAAACCACCUUUGCAAAAUUAUGACUGAGACAGUGAAACAGAUCUAACUUAGCCAACUCCGUCUUCUUCCAACCUGCAGGCUGUGCUUGUUCAUUCUGGGUGUAGGCUGAACUAACUUUGGGAGAAACUUAGUUUAUAGUUUAAAACAAAGAUGAUAACAGCCCUUUCCCAAAGCAGACCUUCUUCUUGCCUGGGGACUAGAUUGCCUUUGUAGGACUGACAGUAGCCACGAGAUUAGAAAUUAUGAUUUAGGAAUCGUGCAGCUGGAGGCUACAAGAUUCUGACCCUCCCUAAAUUGCUCCUAAGAUCAAUGCUUGAGAUAUUUUGCAGACCCUGCACUUGAUGGCACCACUCAGAUCAAUAAACUGGCUCAUCUGAUCUUGUGGCCCCUUACCCAGGAACUGACUCAUCACAAGAAGACAGCUUCAACUCCCUAUGAUUUCAUCUUUGACCAAUCAGCACUCCUGGCUCACCGGCUUCCCACACACCCACCAAGUUGUUCUUAAAAACUCUGCUCUCCGAAUGCUCGGGGAGACUGAUUUGAGUAAUAAUAAAACUCUGUUCUCCCACACAGCCGGCUCUGUGUGAAUAACUCUUUCUCUAUUGCAAUUCCCCUGUCUUGAUAAAUUGUCUCAGUCUAGGCAGCAGGCAAGGUGAGCCCACUGUGCAGUUACAAUCUUGCCUUUUAUGCUUCUACCAUCACUAUGUGAAGAGCUGCACUGGCUAGCAUUCUGGUCCAAUUGGAGUGGGAAAGACAUUGAGUAGAUCUGGACAACCUGCUGCUUAGAACAUAUCCCAGCUAAGCUCAACAUGGAUUAAAUGACCCCAGGUUAAUGUGCAAACAUCUGAGAGAAAAUAAAUGAUUGUUUUCUUAAGCCACCAAUAUUUUCAGUUGUUAUUCAGUAACAUUGUGAAAAGAGGUGACUAAUACAAGAGAAGAAACAACAGUAAAAAAAAUUUGGACGUGUAAAAGCAGAUGGUAAUGUCCACUUUCAUUUCUGACAGUAUAACAUAUCAAAACUAAUGCCAGUUCUAGAACUGAGACAUAAAACAUCUAAAAUUAAAAAUGUAAUAGGUGGUUUUGAAAGCGGAGAAGAGGAUUAUUGAAUUGGAA
rnacentral:lncRNA from 1 species